CGAGUGCCGCCUGAAUAAGGUGGCUUUUCCUCUGUGUAACAAGCUGUGGGAAUAAGGGAGGGGCAAGACUGGUGUCAGCCGCCGCGGUAACACCAGCCCCCCGAGUGGUGGGGAUGCUUAUUUGGCCUAAAGCGUCCGUAGCUUGCUCUGUAAAUCUCUCGUUAAAUCCAGCGUCCUAAGCGUUGGGCUGCGAGUGAGACUGCAGGGCUAGAGGGUGGGAGAGGUCAGCGGUAUUUCUGGGGUAGGGGCGAAAUCCAUUGAUCCCAGGAGGACCACCAGUGGCGAAGGCUGCUGACUUGAACACGCCUGACAGUGAGGGACGAAAGCUGGGGUAGCGAAUCGGAUUAGAUACCCGAGUAGUCCCAGCCGUAAACGAUGCAGGCUAGGUGUUGGGUUGGCCACGUGCCGACUCAGUGCCACAGGGAAGCCAUUAAGCCUGCCGCCUGGGAGUACG
rnacentral:rRNA from 1 species